rnacentral:rRNA from 1 species
GAUGAACGCUGGCGGCGUGCCUAAUACAUGCAAGUCGAGCGAAUGGAUUAAGAGCUUGCUCUUAUGAAGUUAGCGGCGGACGGGUGAGUAACACGUGGGUAACCUGCCCAUAAGACUGGGAUAACUCCGGGAAACCGGGGCUAAUACCGGAUAACAUUUUGAACCGCAUGGUUCGAAAUUGAAAGACGGCUUCGGCUGUCACUUAUGGAUGGACCCGCGUCGCAUUAGCUAGUUGGUGAGGUAACGGCUCACCAAGGCAACGAUGCGUAGCCGACGUGAGAGGGUGGUCGGCCAAACUGGGAAUGAGACACGGCCCAGACUCCUACGGGAGGCAGCAGUAGGGAAUCUUCCACAAUGGACGAAAGUCUGACAGAGCAACGCCGCGUGAGUGAUGAAGGCUUUCGGGUCAUAAAACUCUGUUGUUAGGGAAGAACAAGUGCUAGUUGAAUAAGCUGGCACCUUGACGGUACCUAACCAGAAAGCCACGGCUAACUACGUGCCAGCCGCCGCCGUAA